AUUGAACGCUGGCGGCAGGCCUAACACAUGCAAGUCGCACGAGUGGCGGACGGGUGAGUAAUGUCUGGGAAACUGUCUGAUGGAGGGGGAUAACUACUGGAAACGGUAGCUAAUACCGCAUACCAUCAGAUGUGCCCAGAUGGGAUUAGCUUGUUGGUGGGGUAACGGCUCACCAAGGCGACGAUCCCUAGCUGGUCUGAGAGGAUGACCAGCCAAACUGGGACUGAGACACGGUCCAGAAUCCUACGGGAGGCAUCAGUGGGGAAUAUUGCACAAUGGGGGCAAGCGUGAUGCAGCCAUGCCGCGUGUAUGAAGAAGGCCUUCGGGUUGUAAAGUACUUUCAGCGGGGAGGCGUUACCCACAGAAGAAGCACCGGCUAACUCCGUGCCAGCAGCCGCGGUAAUUC
rnacentral:rRNA from 1 species